GCGAGUGUGGCGGAAUGGCAGACGCACCAGACUUAGGAUCUGGCGUCUUACGACGUAAGGGUUCAAGUCCCUUCACUCGCACCA
rnacentral:tRNA from 2 species